rnacentral:lncRNA from 1 species
GGCUCGCGAGGUGAAAAGAUUGCGGAACCGUGAGAUUCCCUACGUAAAGGUGCUUUGGAGCAACCACGACGAGCGCGAGGCCACUUGGGAGCUGGAGAGCGCACUGAGGGAGCGCUAUCCUCAUCUUUUUCAGAUGGAGGCUUGAGGUACUUGUCAUUUCGAGUUUCGCGGACGAAACUCCUUUUUAGGAGGGGUGAAUGUAACACACUGGACCUUUGCAAAUUGCGAGGUUCGAGUG